GACGAACGCUGGCGGCGUGCUUAACACAUGCAAGUCGAACGGUAAGGCCCUUCGGGGUACACGAGUGGCGAACGGGUGAAUAACACGUGGGUGAUCUGCCCUGCACUUCGGGAUAAGCCUGGGAAACUGGGUCUAAUACCGGAUAGGACCCUGGGAUGCAUGUCCUGGGGUGGAAAGCUUUUGCGGUGUGGGUUGGGCCCGCGGCCUAUCAGCGUGUUGGUGGGGGGAUGGCCUACCAAGGCGACGACGGGUAGCCGGCCUGAGAGGGUGACCGGCCGCACAGGGAGUGGGAUACGGCCCAGACUCGUACGGGAGGCAGAAGUGGGGAAGAGUGCACAAUGGGCGCAAGAGUGAUGCAGCGACGCCGCGUGAGGGAUGUCGGCGUUCGGGUUGUAAACCUCUUUCAGCACCGGCGAAGCACAAGGGACGGUAGGUGCAGAAGAAGGACCGGCCAACUACGUGCCAGCCGCCGCGGUAA
rnacentral:rRNA from 1 species